rnacentral:rRNA from 1 species
UACGUAGGUGGCGAACGUUAUCCGGAAUCACUGGGCGUAAAGGGUCCGCAGGUGGUCGUAAAGGUCUGGCGUGAAAUCAUCUGGCUCAACUAGAUGGCGCCGCCCGAAACCGUACGACUAGAUUCACACAGAGGUCGGUGGAAUUCCAGGUGUAGUGGUGGAAUGCGUAGAUAUCUGGAGGAACCCCAAAAGCGAAGGCAGCCGACUGGGUGAUGAAUGACACUGAGGGACGAAAGUGUAGGUAGCGAACAGG